GGUCAAGUGACUAAGAGCAUGUGGUGGAUGCCUUGGCGAUUACAGGCGAAGAAAGACGUGAUAGCCUGCGAUAAGCUUCGGGGAGCUGGCAAAUAAGCUUUGAUCCGGAGAUUUCUGAAUGGGGAAACCCACCUCGCAAGAGGUAUCGCAUACUGAAUACAUAGGUAUGCGAGGCGAACCGGGUGAACUGAAACAUCUCAGUAGCUCGAGGAAAAGACAUCAACCGAGAUUCCGAAAGUAGUGGCGAGCGAAAUCGGAAGAGCCUUCUAGUGAUAGCACGACUGUUAGCAAAACGGAAUGGAAAGUCCGGCCAUAGCAGGUGAUAGCCCUGUAUGCGAAAACAGACGUGUGGUACUAAGUUAGAGAAAAGUAGGGCGGGACACGAGAAAUCCUGUCUGAAUAUGGGGGGACCAUCCUCCAAGGCUAAAUACUCGUAAUCGACCGAUAGUGAACCAGUACCGUGAGGGAAAGGCGAAAAGAACCCCGGGAGGGGAGUGAAAUAGAUCCUGAAACCGCAUGCUUACAAAAAGUAGGAGCCCGCAAGGGUGACUGCGUACCUUUUGUAUAAUGGGUCAGCGACUUACAUUCAGUGGCAAGGUUAACCGAAUAGGGAAGCCGUAGAGAAAUCGAGUCCGAAUAGGGCGAAUCAGUCGCUGGGUGUAGACCCGAAACCAAGUGAUCUAUCCAUGGCCAGGAUGAAGGUGCCGUAACAGGUACUGGAGGUCCGAACCCACUAGUGUUGCAAAACUAGGGGAUGAGCUGUGGAUAGGGGUGAAAGGCUAAACAAACUUGGAAAUAGCUGGUUCUCUCCGAAAACUAUUUAGGUAGUGCCUCAAGUAUUACCUGCGGGGGUAGAGCACUGUUUAGGCUAGGGGGUCAUGGCGACUUACCAAACCUAUGCAAACUCCGAAUACCGCAGAGUACAGCUUGGGAGACAGAGCACCGGGUGCUAACGUCCGGACUCAAGAGGGAAACAACCCAGACCGCCAGCUAAGGUCCCUAAAAUUGGCUAAGUGGGAAACGAAGUGGGAAGGCUAAAACAGUCAGGAUGUUGGCUUAGAAGCAGCCAUCAUUUAAAGAAAGCGUAAUAGCUCACUGAUCGAGUCGUCCUGCGCGGAAGAUGUAACGGGGCUAAGCCAGUUACCGAAGCUGCGGAUGUGCAAUUUAUUGCACGUGGUAGGAG
rnacentral:rRNA from 1 species